UACGUAGGGUGCGAGCGUUAAUCGGAAUUACUGGGCGUAAAGCGUGCGUAGACGGUUAUUUAAGUCGGGUGUGAAAGCCCCGGGCUCAACCUGGGAAUUGCAUUCGAGACUGAAUAGCUAGGGUACGGUAGAGGGAAGUGGAAUUUCCGGUGUAGCGGUGAAAUGCGUAGAUAUCGGAAGGAACAUCAGUGGCGAAAGCGACUCCUGGACC
rnacentral:rRNA from 1 species